rnacentral:rRNA from 1 species
UACGUAGGGUGCGAGCGUUAAUCGGAAUUACUGGGCGUAAAGCGUGCGCAGGCGGCUAUUUAAGCCAGACGUGAAAUCCCCGGGCUUAACCUGGGAAUUGCGUUUGGAACUGGAUGGCUAGAGUACGGCAGAGGGGGGUGGAAUUCCACGUGUAGCAGUGAAAUGCGUAGAGAUGUGGAGGAACACCGAUGGCGAAGGCAGCCCCCUGGGCCUGUACUGACGCUCAUGCACGAAAGCGUGGGGAG